GAGAUCUCUCCUUUGUGAAGUUUUGGUGACAGGCCUCAAUACUAGCAAACAUCUGUCCCAGUUGAAAGCCUCAGCACUGUGUUAGAAGACAUCUAUGAUCCAGCUCUCCCCAGUCUUUGGAACUCUGGCCUGAAGGUAGUUAGAAAUGCAGAUGAAGCUUGAUUAAGAGUAGUGGUUCUCCAACUCUCAUUCUUCAGAGUGGUAGAGCAGGCAAAGAACACUGGUGAUUUCUUGUAGCAUCUUUUCUGGAUUUUUAUGGCUGAAGAAAUUGAUAUAUGCCCACUGGAAUUUGUGAAAGUCUUUGCAGAGAUUUUAGCCUACGGCAGACUGGGCCUAAAAGAAGCAUUCCCCAAAGAGAGAGAGCCUGCAGCUGUGAAUUUAAAUGUGUAGUAGGAAAUGUCAGAUUGCAGAUCCAGAAGAAAAGACAUGCACUGAAGACUUGGGGAAUUUCUGCCCUAAGAUCUAUCAACUAUUUUCAGAACCAUGAAGCAGAGAGCUGUUUAUGUUUGUUACUACUUUUUAAUUCCUGUUGGCAGUGACAUGCAGACUAUGAAAUGUGUUAGGCUUGAUUUACAUAAAUCAAAAGGUUGUCAGCAUCUUCCCUUAAGAUGUCUAUGUUGCCUUAAAAUCCAAACUGAUGACCUCAUUGUAACACAAAUAAAUAGUGUUGGUAAAUGUUA